rnacentral:rRNA from 1 species
UACGUAGGGUGCGAGCGUUAAUCGGAAUUACUGGGCGUAAAGCGUGCGCAGGCGGCUUUGCAAGACAGAUGUGAAAUCCCCGGGCUCAACCUGGGAACUGCAUUUGUGACUGCAAGGCUAGAGUACGGCAGAGGGGGAUGGAAUUCCGCGUGUAGCAGUGAAAUGCGUAGAUAUGCGGAGGAACACCAAUGGCGAAGGCAAUCCCCUGGGCCUGUACGUGACGCGUCAUGCACGAAAGCGUGGGGAGCAAACAGG